UUUUAGAAGUAAAAGGUAAUGCAAGAUACCAGGAGACAGUGAAAGACCCUUGGAGUGGGGAGACCCUCACUGAAGUCUCAGGAUGACGUGACCACCCAAGAACUCACGAGAGACU
rnacentral:pre_miRNA from 14 species